rnacentral:rRNA from 1 species
GAUGAACGCUGGCGGCGUGCCUAAUACAUGCAAGUCGAGCGAACAGACGAGGAGCUUGCUCCUCUGACGUUAGCGGCGGACGGGUGAGUAACACGUGGAUAACCUACCUAUAAGACUGGGAUAACUUCGGGAAACCGGAGCUAAUACCGGAUAAUAUAUUGAACCGCAUGGUUCAAUAGUGAAAGACGGUUUUGCUGUCACUUAUAGAUGGAUCCGCGCCGCAUUAGCUAGUUGGUAAGGUAACGGCUUACCAAGGCAACGAUGCGUAGCCGACCUGAGAGGUUGAGCGGCCAGAAUGGAGAUAAGACUCGGACAAGAGGACAACGGGAGGCAGCAGUAGGGAAGAGUGCACAAUGGUAUAAAGCUAGAAGUAGAAAAGUAGCGUGAAAGAAGAAAGUCUUAAGAACGUAAAACUCUGUUAUUAGUGAAGAACAAAAGAGUAAGGACCAAUGCCCGUCAUGACGGUACCUAAUCAGAAAGCCACGGAUAACUACGUG